AACGCACAUUGCGCUUCCUGGUAUUCCGGGGAGCAUGCCCGUUUCAGAAUCAUUUGAAAAUCUCACGCAUCUGGAUGCUUUUUGCGAAGCGUUCGCAUGGCGUGGAUCUGGAUUUUUGCGGAUGCAAUCAUCUGGAAUGCGUUGCGUGCAUGCCAACCGUUCUGUCUCUGGUUUGCCGAGUGCAACAGAUUCAUUUCUCUUUUUCACUUGGGGACAACCUCGAGACGGAUGUUGGUGAUGCGUGCUCACCCCGACAACACACGGUGGUCGAAUCUGGAUUGAUUUGGCUGCUGACUACUUGAUCUGAAAUCGGGCAAGAGAACCCGCUGAACUUAA
rnacentral:misc_RNA from 1 species